AUACGGAGGGGGCAAGCGUUGUUCGGAAUGACUGGGCGUAAAGGGCGCGUAGGCGGAUGUGUAAGUUGGGGGUGAAAGGCCUGGGCUCAACCUGGGAAUUGCCUCCAAAACUACACGUCUUGGGAUCGGAAGAGGAUGGCGGAAUUCCCAGUGUAGAGGUGAAAUUCGUAGAUAUUGGGAAGAACACCGGUGGCGAAGGCGGCCAUCUGGUCCGACACUGACGCUGAGGCGCGAAAGCGUGGGGAGCAAACAGGAUUAGAAACCCCAGUAGUCC
rnacentral:rRNA from 1 species